ensembl:lncRNA
GAGAUCACUUCUUACUUGCAUCACCUUCUCUGCAGUUUUGGAUCUGAGCUCUCUGACAACGCUGUCAGGACUCAUUUCUGCACACCUACUGCUCACCUGAGACAUCCCUUGUGUAAUACUGCAAUUUUCAUGCUGAACCACAUGACAGAGUGAGACUGCCAGAUGUGGGAAAUUACGUGCUGCGCUAGUGUGACUUCCAGCUAUGAGAAGAAAACGAGAUGGAAGGGAGCAGACAGACCCCAAAGGACUGCUUUCCAAGCAUAGGAUGGGGCAGCUGCUGAAUCACGCACAGAAAUGUUCCCAGGAGAGAGAGAAGAGAAUUACUUCCUCGGGCAGUAGUAGCAGCAAAGGGCAGUGUAUGGGAACUGUUGAGUCACAGCCUGAACCUCUGAUUGAUCACCUGAAGAAAGAACUGAGUCAGCCGUGGGAGCACAGGUGAAGGCAAUUCACCUGUGUGACCUGAAGGGGUGGAGCCUGGCUGCACCUCUCCUGGACCCCAUAGAAGGGCCGACUGCCACUGGGGAAGGAUCUCUUUCUGGAGAUUGCUCCUUUUGGAGUUUUCUAUUGUGAGCCUUGAUCCUUGGAUAUGGCCUGAUGUGUCACAGCACAGCUUGGAGAUGAGAUGUGACACUGUCUUGGAGCUUGAGGUCUGUCUGUCCGGGCCCAGGAAGAUGGAUGGCUUUGCGGUGUUGUUUGAAAGCUGCACUGACCUCAAGAAGGAGCCCUGAUUGCGGUGCCAGCACAACAGCAGACAGCAGGGGAGGAAAUCGAGGCGAGCACCCCUGGUGCACAUGUGGAUGGCUGAUGCUGCCAUUUCCUAUUUUUAUCCUGAUUCACCGCUCCUGGGAACGGAGAGUGAAAGCUGGGUUACAAGGUGCUUGCUAACUGAGGCUUCGUGGUCAGCAUAUAUCACUAGUGGAUGAGUCUGGCGUUUGUCAAGCCCCAGAACAUGAUGAACAACCCAUUACCACCAGAGUAAUGGAGAGGUCUGAACGUCCACAAAUGACAACCGGGAGCAAUUGAAGUAUGAUGGGGAAGGAGGAUGGGCUGCAGCUCCAGGUGAAAAGAAGAAUUGGAUCAACAGCUGAUACUGAGAGAGGCAGGAGGUUUUCACUCCCUUCAAGACUCCAUAUUGUUGAUCUUUUGAAUGGGAAGAUUUGCUAAACUUGUUCAACUCUUCUAAGAUUGAUACUAGGAAAAAUAAGUAACUUCGGCAAUGCUUUAAAUAAGCAACAGGAGCACAUGGCUGUAAGUUGCACCAUCCCAUCAUCUUUGCAGUUUGCCCUCUCAAUGAGAAGUCUGACAAAAGAAAAUCCUGUGAAGGAAGAAAUGCUCUUCACUGUCCUCCUGAAAAAUCCACUCAUCUCCUGGCCAUGUGUACAACACAUCACAUACAGAUGCGCAGCAGAAUUUAUUUUGCAAUCAUUCCUUUCCCAACAAAAUGAUUUCGAUCUGCUGGAAGGGAAGUGCAUUAGAAAUCACAAAACUAGAGUACAAGUCUUAUCUUUCCUAUUGACUGUAGCAUGUAUUGGCCAACUGUAGGAGUCGGCCAACUGUGAGACUGUAAACCCAACAUUUAAAGGUAGGUGAGCAUCAAUACUCUUUUGUUGCAGAGCUAAGAGGUUGUAUAAGAUAACCUUUGACAGAGCUGGGAAUGGACAUGACUUUCAGACAUUUUAUCAAACUGCUUCUCUGCACCGCGUUGUUCCAUUGCCUGGCUGGCACCAGUGCUCCUUCUGCAGACCAGAGAGCAUGGGAUGGCCUCUUCCUGCAGCUCCUCUUUCCCCAGCCCUUCUAAGCCCCUCCAGCAAGAGCUGUCUUCUGCCUCUUCCUGGCAGAGCCACAGCUCGCCAGCUCAGCUGGGGGGCAUCAUCUUUGGGAUGCAAGAGUGCUGCGCUGAGGGCGGGUGCCAGGCAGCAGCCAUCAUCCAUUGCCCUACACCGAUAACGCUUAGAGCCUUGCUGACAGAAGCUGAUACGCACCACAGGUAAAUUCAAUGUGCAUGAAAGGACUCUUGUUCUUCUUCAGCACAGAGCAUAAAGGCAUACUGUCAGACAAAUUAAUUUCUGAUAGCUUUCUUUUCAACAGCAUUGAGCUGUUAUUUUUCCUGGGCUUUGCCAGAACUUCCGAUUUAUCUGUUGUUCCCCUAAACAGAC